GCACCACAAGAACGCGUGGAGCAUGUGGCUUAAUUUGACUCAACGCGGGAAAUCUUACCGGGUCCGGACACACUGAGGAUUGACAGGCAAUAUCUCAUGUUUAAUAACCGUUAUUAACCGAUAUCGCGUUAUUUAAUACAUCGAGUGUUAAAUAUGCUAGUCCUUUCAUGAUUAUGUGAUAGGUGGUGCAUGGCCGUUCUUAGUUCGUGGAGUGAUCUGUCUGCUUAAUUGCGUUUCACUAAGGGCCCAUAAAUUCAAGGUAUGUUAGCUAUCUGUCGCUCUAUGGACCCCUUAACCGAGUUAAAUCGAGUUAAGCGCGCGUCUUUAUUUAAAGAGUUUAAGACAUUGCGCAUGCUGUUGGGCUCUGAAAGCAACGAACGUGACCGCAACGUCUUGUUGCCUUAAUAAAGCAAGUUGUGUUAAUAGCAAUAUUAACCGAUUGCUUACAGAGGCUAUUUUAAAAGAACGGACCGCUGUUUCUUUUCUUAAACCAGAGGAAGGUUGCGGCAAUAACAGGU
rnacentral:rRNA from 1 species